rnacentral:rRNA from 1 species
GACGAACGCUGGCGGCGUGCCUAAUACAUGCAAGUUGAGCGCUGAAGGUUGGUACUUGUACCAACUGGAUGAGCAGCGAACGGGUGAGUAACGCGUGGGGAAUCUGCCUUUGAGCGGGGGACAACAUUUGGAAACGAAUGCUAAUACCGCAUAAAAACUUUAAACACAAGUUUUAAGUUUGAAAGAUGCAAUUGCAUCACUCAAAGAUGAUCCCGCGUUGUAUUAGCUAGUUGGUGAGGUAAAGGCUCACCAAGGCGAUGAUACAUAGCCGACCUGAGAGGGUGAUCGGCCACAUUGGGACUGAGACACGGCCCAAACUCCUACGGGAGGCAGCAGUAGGGAAUCUUCGGCAAUGGACGAAAGUCUGACCGAGCAACGCCGCGUGAGUGAAGAAGGGUUUCGGAUCGUAAAACUCUGUUGGCAGAGAAGAACGUUGGUGAGAGUGGAAAGCUCAUCAAGUGACGGUAACUACCCAGAAAGGGACGGCUAACUACGUG